AACCAUUCUCACCUGCGGCUAGACCUGCGGAGGGAUCAUUACUGAGUGAGGGCUCACGCCCGACCUCCAACCCUUUGUGAACCAAACUUGUUGCUUCGGGGGCGACCCUGCCGACGACUCCGUCGCCGGGCGCCCCCGGAGGUCUUCUAAACACUGCAUCUUUGCGUCGGAGUUUAAACAAAUUAAACAAAACUUUCAGCAACGGAUCU
rnacentral:misc_RNA from 1 species